rnacentral:rRNA from 1 species
UACGUAGGGUGCGAGCGUUGUCCGGAAUUACUGGGCGUAAAGAGCUCGUAGGUGGUUUGUCGCGUUGUUCGUGAAAACCGGGGGCUUAACCCUCGGCGUGCGGGCGAUACGGGCAGACUGGAGUACUGCAGGGGAGACUGGAAUUCCUGGUGUAGCGGUGAAAUGCGCAGAUAUCAGGAGGAGCACCGGUGGCGAAGGCGGGUCUCUGGGCCGAUACUGACGCUGAGGAGCGAAAGCGUGGGGAGCGAACAGG